rnacentral:lncRNA from 1 species
GGUUUUUUGUUCUUUAUUUUGGUUAGGCCAGGGUGUUACAUGGGUGGGCGUUCUAUGUUCCUUUUUCUAUGUUUUUGUAUUUCUUUGUUUUGGGCCGAGUAGGGUUCCUAAUCAGAGGCAGCUGUCUAUCGUUGUCUCUGAUUAGGAAUCCUACUUAGGCAGCCUUUUCCCCACCUGUGCUUUGUGGGAUCUUGUGUUUGUGUAGCUGCCUGUGAGCAGCCCAGAACGUCUCUCGGUAUUGUUUUGAUGUUACCUUCAGAAGACCUGCAUGUCUAGUCAGCCAGAGCUUUGCUCAGAGAAUAUACCCUUCACCAUGGCACUGAUGCCUUAUGAGUUCCAAGUAGCCACCUUUUUGCCAGUCGACAUACCAGCCUAUCUGAUAGCAGCCUAUCCAGUCAUUUUAAAGGUUUUCUUUCUAGGACCAAUUAAGGAGUGAAUUGACCCCAACUAAUUAAUAGUAGGAGUGUAACAAUGUGUUGAACUAUGAUACAUUUCAGUUAGGAAAGUAUUUGUAGAAACGUGUGACAUGGGUACAUUACUACUACAACAGAGACUCAUGCCCAGAAAAUACUGUAUGUUGUAUUAUACAGUACACUUAAUUUCACAGUUACAGUUAGUCUAACCUAACAGUACCACUUCACACUUCUCACAAAAUGAAAUUACCAGACUCGCCGUCGACUGCAUUCGAGAGCCACUUGUACAGUGCAAUCCCAUUUCAGAUCAUUAUAUGUCGUGUCACUUUAUUAGCACAAAUUCCAUCAUAUGACUUCACCAUACAGCACAUCAUUAAGACCACAAUCAAGCGACUAAUAAGGGGAUGAAGAGGAGCGAGGAGAAUGCUUACAGUAUCAGAUGGAGGAACAAUUGCACUCGACGCAAGGAUGAGGCCAAUUAGAUGAAAACAAUUAAGCUCAAACGCAUCAUGAUCAUUUGGUGUGAAAAUGUGUGUUAAUGAACUGGAGAGACUGAGAGACUAAGACUUGCAGAGAUGACAUUCCCUAGAAGAUACGUUGAUUAAGAAGAUACAUUGAGAAAGUUGUCUUAUGUUGGGGAUUUUGCCAGCAAUGUUAGCUAAGAGUGCUGUAUUUUCACAACCUCUGUACAAAAUACUGGUCCUGUUGAGUUGAAGUUAAAAAACUAAUGUUGUGUAAAAAGAAUUACAUUUUCCUAGAAGAUAUGUUGGAUUGAACAGUCAAAAGCUACGAGUUACGUUUCUGUCAAUCUAUAUUGAGUGUGUUGUGUUUUUGCAGCCUCUAUAUGUACGAUAUGCUGGUCCUGUUGAGGUGGUUUGGAGUCAGGGGUAUGAUGUGUGAAGUCAGUGUCACGACUUCCACCGAGGGUGGUUCCUCUCUCUGUUCGGGCGGUGGUCGGCGUCGCCGGCCUACUGAGCCGUCACCGAUCCAUUUUUCUUUUUCCGUUUGUUUUGUCUUUGGUUUUUUUUCACACCUGGUUUCAUUUGCUUUAAUUUCUGUGUGUAUAUUUUACCCCUGUUGUCUGCUUAGGUUUGUGCGGGAUUAUUUGUCUCAGGUUGCUCGUUGAGGUUGUGCCUCAGUUUAUUUCAAGUAUAUACCGAUUGUUUGAGGAGUUUUUUUUUUUUUUUCUCCUUCCGUGAGUAACUGUAUUGUCUUUUUGUCGUGGGCGUUGUUAUUGGUAUUGUACCGGUCUUUUUGUUGUGGACUUGCCUAUUAAAAGACGCUCCUUGGA